rnacentral:rRNA from 1 species
AGAACGAACGCUGGCGGCAGGCUUAACACAUGCAAGUCGAGCGCCCAGCAAUGGGAGCGGCGGACGGGUGAGUAACACGUGGGAACAUGCCUUUCGGUACGGAACAACUUCGGGAAACUGAAGCUAAUGCCGUAUACGCCCUUACGGGGAAAGAUUUAUCGCCGAAAGAUUGGCCCGCGUCUGAUUAGCUAGUUGGUGAGGUAACGGCUCACCAAGGCUUCGAUCAGUAGCCGGUUUGAGAGAACGACCAGCCACACUGGGACUGAGACACGGCCCCAGACUCCUACGGGAGGCAGCAGUGGGGAAUCUUGGACAAUGGAGGAAACUCUGAUCCAGCCAUGCCGCGUGAGUGAUGAAGGCCUUCGGGUUGUAAAACUCUUUUACCCGGGAAGAUAAUGACUGUACCGGAGAAUAGCUCGGCUAACUUCGCGCCAGCAGCCGC